rnacentral:rRNA from 1 species
CCUACGGGAGGCAGCAGUGGGGAAUAUUGCACAAUGGGCGAAAGCCUGAUGCAGCAACGCCGCGUGAGCGAUGAAGGCCUUCGGGUCGUAAAGCUCUGUCCUCAAGGAAGAUAAUGACGGUACUUGAGGAGGAAGCCCCGUCUAACUACGUGCCAGCAGCCGCGGUAAUACGUAGGGGGCUAGCGUUAUCCGGAAUUACUGGGCGUAAAGGGUGCGUAGGUGGUUUCUUAAGUCAGAGGUAAAAGGGUACGGCUCAACCGUAGUAAGCAGUUGAAACGGGGGAACUUGAGUGCAGGAGAGGGAGGUGGAAUGCCUGGUGUAGCGGUGAAAUGCGUAGAUAUUAGGAAGAAAAACGGGUGCGAAGGCAGCUCUCUGGACUGUAACUGACACUGAGGCACGAAAGCGUGGGGAGCAAACAGGAUUAGAUACCCGGGUAGUC